CUACAGAGGGUGCGAGCGUUAAUCGGAGUUACUGGGCGUAAAGCGCGCGUAGGCGGUCUAUUAAGUCAGAUGUGAAAUCCCAGGGCUCAACCUUGGAACUGCAUCUGAUACUGGUAGACUAGAGUUUUGGAGAGGGAAGUAGAAUUUCAGGUGUAGCGGUGAAAUGCAUAGAGAUCUGAAGGAAUACCAGUGGCGAAGGCGACUUCCUGGCCAAAAACUGACGCUGAGGUGCGAAAGCGUGGGUAGCAAACGGGAUUAGAAACCCCGGUAGUCC
rnacentral:rRNA from 1 species